UACGAAGGGGGCUAGCGUUGCUCGGAAUUACUGGGCGUAAAGCGCACGUAGGCGGCUUUGUAAGUUAGAGGUGAAAGCCCGGGGCUCAACUCCGGAAUUGCCUUUAAGACUGCAUCGCUAGAAUUGUGGAGAGGUGAGUGGAAUUCCGAGUGUAGAGGUGAAAUUCGUAGAUAUUCGGAAGAACACCAGUGGCGAAGGCGACUCACUGGACACAUAUUGACGCUGAGGUGCGAAAGCGUGGGGAGCAAACAGG
rnacentral:rRNA from 1 species